rnacentral:rRNA from 1 species
GAUGAACGCUGGCGGCGUGCCUAACACAUGCAAGUCGAACGAAAAGACGAGGAGCUUGCGCCUCUGUCGUUAGCGGAGGACGGGUGAGUCACACGUGGAUCACCCCCUUAUAUUUCUGGGAUAACUACGGGACACCGGAUCUAAUACCGGAUAAUAUAUUGAACCGCAUGGUGCAAUGGUGAAUGUCGGCUUUGCUGUCUGUAAUAGAUGCAUCCGAGCUGCAUGAGCUGGUUGGUAAGGUACCGGCCUACCAAGGCAACGAUGCGUAUCCGAGCGGAGGGGGGGAUCGGCCACACUGGAACUGGGACACGGACCAGAGUCCUACGGGAGGCAGCAGUAGGGAAUGUUCGGCAAUGGGCGAAAGCCUGACAGAGUGACGCCGCGUGAGUGGUGAAGGUCUUCGGAUCGUAAAGCUGUGUUAUGAGGGAAGAACAAAUGUGUAAGUAGCUAUGCACGUCUUGACGGUACCUAAUCAGGAAGCCACGGCUAACUACGUG